rnacentral:rRNA from 1 species
UACGUAGGGUGCAAGCGUUAAUCGGAAUUACUGGGCGUAAAGCGUGCGCAGGCGGUUGUGCAAGACCGAUGUGAAAUCCCCGGGCUUAACCUGGGAAUGGCAUUGGUGACUGCACGGCUAGAGUGUGUCAGAGGGGGGUAGAAUUCCACGUGUAGCAGUGAAAUGCGUAGAGAUGAUGGAGGAAUACCGAUGGCGAAGGCAGCCCCCUGGGAUAACACUGACGCUCAUGCACCGAAAGCGUGGGGAGCAAACAGG